UACGUAGGGUGCGAGCGUUGUCCGGAUUUAUUGGGCGUAAAGGGCUCGUAGGCGGCCUGUCGCGUCGGGAGUGAAAGCCCACUGCUUAACGGUGGGUCUGCUUCCGGUACGGGCGGGCUAGAGUAUGGCAGGGGAGACUGGAAUUCCUGGUGUAGCGGUGGAAUGCGCAGAUAUCAGGAGGAACACCGGUGGCGAAGGCGGGUCUCUGGGCCGGUACUGACGCUGAGACGCGAAAGCGUGGGGAGCAAACAGG
rnacentral:rRNA from 1 species